rnacentral:lncRNA from 1 species
CAACCCCUAAGUCAGAGGAAAAAGUACCUGAAUACGAGCAGCGGUGGCAUCCGGAUGGGAUUCAAGAAGCAUACCAAUGUUUGUCUUUCCUCAUUUGCCUCACAACCACCUCCCUCUUGUUUCUCAGCAAUUUUAUCCUCGCCACCAUGAUCUUCACCAUUGUCUGUGCAUACACACACAAAAAAAACUUGAUUUCUUUUAUCCAAGAAGAAGUAAAAUUGAGAAGGGAAUUGGAAAAUUCAGCAUUUAGAGGAAUUCAAAGUUCUGUAGAAAAGAGAAAGAUCUAUCUUCAUCGCCUUGAGAAGAGCGUGUGUGUGAAAGAAGAGAAGAGUGGUCUUUGUGAAGAAGAGCAAGGAGCGACAAACACACAAAGAGCCGUUAUUUUUU